CUCACCCGCCAGCUGCCGAGGAGGAAGGACGUGGGGUGCUGAGGACGGAACGGAGGUAGAAUGACUGCAAAACGUGGAAAGAAAACUGAUUGGGGAAGCGCGCGUGUGAGGCCGGGCUGACGAGGGCGAGGCGAAGCGAAAUCUGGGCGUGGCGCGGCGAUCCUCCUGCAGGUUUUCCACAUGUGGGAGAGUGCAGUCCAAGGCCACUCCAGUCAACAGCAACGAAUGGGAUGGUGGAGGGGAUGUCCACCAGAGAGACUAAAAGACAUUAUUGGAAGAGCUUAGCAGAUUUGAGUGACGAGACCAGCAAGAAGUGACUGAGAAACAAACCAAGCUGACAGUCUCAAUGGCGAGGAGGUACAUCAGAAGAGCUCUAAUGAUUGCAGAGGUGCUGUAAGUCUGAGCAAGAGCGUUCCUGGUUUGAGUUGAAGGCGGGCACCUAAUCUACACACAAGCCAGGAGGAACGCACACU